rnacentral:rRNA from 1 species
UACGAAGGGGGCUAGCGUUGUUCGGAAUCACUGGGCGUAAAGGGCGCGUAGGCGGCUUUGUAAGUCGGGGGUGAAAGCCUGUGGCUCAACCACAGAAUUGCCUUCGAUACUGCAUGGCUUGAGACCGGAAGAGGUUAGUGGAACUGCGAGUGUAGUGGUGAAAUGCGUAGAUAUCCGGAGGAACACCAGUGGCGAAAGCGGCCACCUGGACUGCACCUGGACGC